GACAGAGGUGCCAAGCGUUAGGCGGAAUCACUGGGCUUAAAGCGUGUGUAGGCGGAUGUCUAAGUACCUUGUGAAAUCCCACGGCUCAACCGUGGAACUGCUUGGUAUACUGGAUGUCUUGAGCCAUCUAGGGGCUACCGGAACAAAUGGUGGAGCGGUGAAAUGCGUAGAGAUGUGGAGGAACACCAGUGGCGAAGGCGGCUCUCUGGUCUGUAACUGACGCUGAGGCGCGAAAGCGUGGGGAGCGAACAGG
rnacentral:rRNA from 1 species